rnacentral:lncRNA from 1 species
GAACUUUAGAACAAUCACCCUUACUGAAAGUUGAACAUAAUUGCAUGUACUACAACUUUUGUAUAGAACUUGAGCGGAGGUUAUACACGAAAUUUUUGAGUUCUCAUCGAUCGAAGUCGGCCAGUUGAAAACGCCAAAGUGGCCGACCGGGGCAGAGACCGCGCGCCACGCGGCCGCCGGCAUCCGGCCCUCCGCCGCGUCGGCCAACCCCCGGCCGUGACACCCUGCAGCGCCGCGCCCACCACCUCCCUCGGCUAGACGCCCCCGGCCAUUUUAACCAGCCCCGGCCUCCUUCUCCUCUUCUUCCCCGCGCCACCCCCGCCAUUGCCACACCGAGCCGCCUCACCUCGCCAGCCCGAUUCGUCAGCUACGCGCCACCAUCCCCAAAUCCCUCGCGUCCACGACUCCUUCACCUCCCAAAGAACUCUCCCGAGCACUCCUGGUAGCCGCUCACCAACCCCAUCGCGGGGGAUUCUAGUUUUUCCGGCCGCCGCCGCCACUACACCUCCAUUGUCGCCGAGUCUCAUCGCCGUCCAAAUCCUCCGUCCUCCGGGCGCCUCUCUCAAAUCACCUCGACCUGCAGACGCUAAACCUCCCCAGUCUCUACAUAGAGCUACCUCAAGUUCCGGCCGUGGUCCAUCUCGCCGAGAAUCGGCCUUUUCCCUGGCCGCCCGUGCGCCACGAACGCCAUGGCCACUUCGCCGUGGACGGCACGCCUCAGGCCACCGCCACACCAACGAACCACAUAAACGGAACCCCGGUGAGCUCCUGGUGCCCAUGCCCUCGCCAUCUCGCUGUUUUAGCUUAGUUGCCGCGCGUGUUUCCGUGCAUGUCGCCGGGCGGCGGCGCACGCUCGCCGUGGAAGGACCUAGGGCUAGGUUUUCGGGUAUUUUAGUAGUGAUUAGUUGCUCCUAGGUAAGGGGAAGCUCGCAGGGUAGAUUUUGGGGAGAGAGGCGUGGCAGCCGCGCCGCCGUCGCCGUGCCGCCGCCGCCCGCCGUGUGUGCGCACGCGUGCUGAAGGAAGAAGAAGAGGGGAGGGACUUAUCUGCGAGAGAAAAAGAACGUCAGGGGGUUACGGCUAAAACGCAGGAUUUAUGUGCGAGGUGGAAUUUAGGCCAGGGGGUUGAGCGCUAGAUUCAGGGACCCGGUUGUGGAAGGAAGGUUAGAUCUUUUAGAAAAAAAGUUUCCAGGGACCUGUGUGUAAACCUAGUUUGGUUGUUUUUUUUUAAAUCGGCUGGAACUUUAGAAAUAUGUAUAAAAUCGUUAGGCUUCUGAUGCAGUAUAGUUUUAUAUAAAAAUGACUUUAUGCAUGUCACUGUUAUAGAUCUGGCCCUAGAUUUUAUCUUGUAAAAAUCUUGCUAUAUGCUUAAUAAAUCGUGUAGUAUUCUAAAAUUUUGAAACGGGUUUUGUUAGUUUCGUAGUGAUGUUUAUGCUCUAGAUCUGCAACUUGAAUUCAUGGAAAGUGUAGUUUUCACGCAGUUUUAGAACUACUUCCUAAUUGACUGCUGAAUCUGGUUAAAAGCAUAGAAAAUUAUAGAAACAUGAUAAAAAUGCACUGAUUAUAUGUUUCAUCUAGGAAAAAUGCUACUUUGUAUCACAUGUAUAAUUUUGUUGCUAAUUAAAAUGCAUCUUGCUAAAUACCUUUUAAUUAGAAUAAAUAUUUGUAGCACUCUAAAAAUUAUGGAAAAUUCACGGUAGUAUAGCCUUGUGUUGAAAACUAAUCUUUGAAGGUUGUAGCACCAGAAGGCUAGCAGAAAAUAGUUAGGCUUUAUUUUAUAAUUCUGCAGACUAGCAAUAAUAGAUAUUUAGCAGAUCUUCCAGUAGGCAAAUUGUACUGAAAUUUUGGUGACAACAUGUUGAUAUGAUUAGUGAUGCUCCGUAAAAUUUACAUGUGCAGAAGGUAUGUCUAGAAUUAGUUUUUAUUUACUUUACACUCUAUAGCUUUAAAUAUGUUAAAAAUAAUCCCUAUAGCAAAAGAGCAUGAAUUUGGGCUAAAAAGUAGGUUUCAUGUUAUACUUCAAAUCUGUUACUUCUCAUAAUUAAUGGAACUAUAGUUACUAUUCUAGGCAUUUUAUCUUAUUUCGUUGAAAUCCUGCUUAAAUGAAUAGUAACAUAAAUUGUUAUGGAUAAAAAUGCAUCUAGAUGUUUAAGAUUUUGUUUAUUGGAUAGUAGUUGAUAAAGUUUUGUUGUGAAGUAAUUAAGAUUAGUUUGUUGUAUGAUUGAGUUGUUGCAUUCCUAACAUUUCAUCGCAUACUUGCAUUCAUCUAGAACAGGUAACUGAAGGUGCGGUGUACGAGCUUGUCGCCGAGGAGCAGCAGGAGGAGCAGUCGCAACAAGAGCAGCACGAAGACCUGUCCCAAUGUUCAGAAGGGCCCAUGGCCUAGUUGAUAGUAAUUAUACCGCUCAGGAAGGCAAGCCCCAGAGCAUUACACUUAAUUUCAGUAUGCAAUGGUUAAGUAUUGUGCAUAAGUUUCUAGGAGUUGAUUGAAACCUUAGAUACAUGUUCCCUCUGUUAAUUUACUAGUAGGUCGUUAGUACUGUCAUGCUUAAUUAAGGAUUCGGUAGAAGUCAAGGAAUUUUCUAUCACUCGCGAGAUAUAGGACCUUUGAUACUUAUGGUAAAAGUUACUUGAGUAUGAAUCACUGAGGAAAGAAAAAUGGAGGCCAGGCGGAGAUGAGUUGGUUGAGGAUAUGACAUGGAUUGGUCAGGCGGAGAUGAGUUGGUUAAGGAUAUGGCAUGGAUUGGAAGUAAGAUUCCGCAUGUGUCCGUUAAGGUCCGAACCGUUGUUGGCUGUGCUGAUCAAGUUUGAACAGUACUGAUCACAUGCCGGGAGUAGGAGGUAGUCAAAACCGGUAAACCUACGUAGCUUGGUGUGUGAAAACAGCUUGAGCUUGAUCCUGACUUCAGCAUCGAGUACUAGUCUAUAACUCAUGAUUGACCCUGGGUGGUAUCGGUGGGGACUGGUACUUGAGGGUCGCGGGGCGGUUCAAAUGUUAGCAUUCGCCAAGAGAACGGUUGCCAUGCGUUGCUCGACAGGGCAUGUAUAUGUCGUGUGAUUAGGUUUACUUUGCAAGAAUUAAAUCGAAUCGAUUCGCCGUACCUCUUGGAUAAGAGAACCUUCACUUGGUCACUCGUAGUAAUGGAAAUGAAAUGGUGAUGACAUGAUAUAUGUUUAAGAUAUUUUUUAUCAGUCAAUGUUGUAUACCAUGCUUGCUCUAGUUUGUAUGCGAACCUAGUUGGUACUUGCUACAUAUUAAACUUGAGCUAAAAUAUUGAAAGCAAGGAUCUCCUUGUGGUAAGGUUCUUUCUGCAAAUGAAACCUAGCAAACCAGAAGCCUUGCUAAGUAUUAGUAUACUAAGGUUGUUUCGACCCUAUUUCAGGUGGUGUUGCUUCUCUAUGAUGGCAUAUCGGUGGGCUCAAUGUGUUGUCCGCUGCUCAGUUGAUGUUUCUAGCUUUUCCAUCUAUCUUAUUUUAUCUUACUUUCAGUUUUCUUUCCGUUGUGCAUUUAAAAGCUCUAUAUCAUUCUUGUAUUUGAACUCUAUUUGUAAAACUUAGCUGUUGUACCAUAAUUUAUGUAAACUCUAUGAUGUUUGUAUUAUCUCUGCUCACCUUCAUGUGAGACUUUGUGGUGUAUUGUUUUGAUCAAGAUAUUCAAUGGUUCAAUCAGGAUUUACCUGACAGACUCUCA